CCUACGGGAGGCAGCAGUGAGGAAUAUUGGACAAUGGAGGCAACUCUGAUCCAGCCAUGCCGCGUGCAGGAAGACUGCCCUAUGGGUUGUAAACUGCUUUUAUAUAGGAAGAAACCCCAGAACGUGUUCUGGGCUGACGGUACUAUAUGAAUAAGCACCGGCUAACUCC
rnacentral:rRNA from 1 species